AGGUUAACAGAGCAAACCGGGGGAACUGAAACAUCUAAGUACCCCGAGGAGAAGAAAUCAACCGAGAUUCCGGUAGUAGCGGCGAGCGAACCUGGAUUAGCCCUUAAGCACUCGGUGAAGUAGGUGAACAAGCUGGAAAGCUUGGCGAUACAGGGUGAUAGCCCCGUAACCGACGCUUCAUCGAGCGUGAAAUCGAGUAGGGCGGGACACGUGAUAUCCUGUCUGAAUAUGGGGGGACCAUCCUCCAAGGCUAAAUACUCCUGACUGACCGAUAGUGAACCAGUACCGUGAGGGAAAGGCGAAAAGAACCCCUGUGAGGGGAGUGAAAUAGAACCUGAAACCGUGUACGUACAAGCAGUAGGAGCACCUUCGUGGUGUGACUGCGUACCUUUUGUAUAAUGGGUCAGCGACUUAUAUUCAGUGGCAAGGUUAACCGUAUAGGGGAGCCGUAGCGAAAGCGAGUCUUAACUGGGCGCUCAGUCUCUGGAUAUAGACCCGAAACCGGGUGAUCUAGCCAUGGGCAGGUUGAAGGUUGAGUAACAUCAACUGGAGGACCGAACCGACUAAUGUUGAAAAAUUAGCGGAUGACUUGUGGCUAGGGGUGAAAGGCCAAUCAAACUCGGAGAUAGCUGGUUCUCCCCGAAAGCUAUUUAGGUAGCGCCUCGGACGAAUACUACUGGGGGUAGAGCACUGUUAAGGCUAGGGGGUCAUCCCGACUUACCAACCCUUUGCAAACUCCGAAUACCAGUAAGUACUAUCCGGGAGACACACGGCGGGUGCUAACGUCCGUCGUGGAGAGGGAAACAACCCAGACCGCCAGCUAAGGUCCCAAAGUAUUGCUAAGUGGGAAACGAUGUGGGAAGGCUCAGACAGCUAGGAUGUUGGCUUAGAAGCAGCCAUCAUUUAAAGAAAGCGUAAUAGCUCACUAGUCGAGUCGGCCUGCGCGGAAGAUGUAACGGGGCUAAGCAAUACACCGAAGCUGCGGCAAUGUCUUUUAGACAUUGGGUAGGGGAGCGUUCUGUAAGCCGUUGAAGGUGAAUCGUAAGGUUUGCUGGAGGUAUCAGAAGUGCGAAUGCUGACAUGAGUAACGACAAAGGGGGUGAAAAACCUCCUCGCCGGAAGACCAAGGGUUCCUGUCCAACGUUAAUCGGGGCAGGGUGAGUCGACCCCUAAGGUGAGGCCGAAAGGCGUAAUCGAUGGGAAACGGGUUAAUAUUCCCGUACUUCUGACUAUUGCGAUGGGGGGACGGAGAAGGCUAGGUGGGCCAGGCGACGGUUGUCCUGGUUCAAGUGCGUAGGCUUGAGAGUUAGGUAAAUCCGGCUCUCUCUAAGGCUGAGACACGACGUCGAGCUACUACGGUAGUGAAGUCAUUGAUGCCAUGCUUCCAGGAAAAGCCUCUAAGCUUCAGAUAGUCAGGAAUCGUACCCCAAACCGACACAGGUGGUCGGGUAGAGAAUACCAAGGCGCUUGAGAGAACUCGGGUGAAGGAACUAGGCAAAAUGGUACCGUAACUUCGGGAGAAGGUACGCUCUUGAUGGUGAAGUCCCUCGCGGAUGGAGCUGACGAGAGUCGCAGAUACCAGGUGGCUGCAACUGUUUAUUAAAAACACAGCACUGUGCAAAAUCGCAAGAUGACGUAUACGGUGUGACGCCUGCCCGGUGCCGGAAGGUUAAUUGAUGGGGUUAGCGCAAGCGAAGCUCUUGAUCGAAGCCCCGGUAAACGGCGGCCGUAACUAUAACGGUCCUAAGGUAGCGAAAUUCCUUGUCGGGUAAGUUCCGACCUGCACGAAUGGCGUAAUGAUGGCCACGCUGUCUCCACCCGAGACUCAGUGAAAUUGAAAUCGCUGUGAAGAUGCAGUGUACCCGCGGCUAGACGGAAAGACCCCGUGAACCUUUACUACAGCUUGGCACUGAACAUUGAACCUACAUGUGUAGGAUAGGUGGGAGGCUAUGAAGACGUGACGCCAGUUGCGUUGGAGCCGUCCUUGAAAUACCACCCUUGUAUGUUUGAUGUUCUAACUUAGACCCAUUAUCUGGGUUGAGGACAGUGCCUGGUGGGUAGUUUGACUGGGGCGGUCUCCUCCCAAAGAGUAACGGAGGAGCACGAAGGUGGGCUAAUCACGGUUGGACAUCGUGAGGUUAGUGCAAUGGCAUAAGCCCGCUUAACUGCGAGAAUGACGGUUCGAGCAGGUGCGAAAGCAGGUCAUAGUGAUCCGGUGGUUCUGUAUGGAAGGGCCAUCGCUCAACGGAUAAAAGGUACUCCGGGGAUAACAGGCUGAUACCGCCCAAGAGUUCAUAUCGACGGCGGUGUUUGGCACCUCGAUGUCGGCUCAUCACAUCCUGGGGCUGAAGUCGGUCCCAAGGGUAUGGCUGUUCGCCAUUUAAAGUGGUACGCGAGCUGGGUUUAGAACGUCGUGAGACAGUUCGGUCCCUAUCUGCCGUGGGCGUUGGAAGAUUGAAGGGGGCUGCUCCUAGUACGAGAGGACCGGAGUGGACGAACCUCUGGUGUUCGGGUUGUGUCGCCAGACGCAUUGCCCGGUAGCUAAGUUCGGAAUUGAUAAGCGCUGAAAGCAUCUAAGCGCGAAGCGAGCCCUGAGAUGAGUCUUCCCUGACAGUUUAACUGUCCUAAAGGGUUGUUCGAGACUAGAACGUUGAUAGGCAGGGUGUGUAAGCGUUGUGAGGCGUUGAGCUAACCUGUACUAAUUGCCCGUGAGGCUUAACCAU
rnacentral:rRNA from 1 species